rnacentral:ncRNA from 2 species
GGGUAGGGUGAAAUUCCCAAUCGGCGGUGAUGAAGUAAUUCAAAGUCCGUGAGCGCAAGCUGAUUUGGUGCAAAUCCAAAACCGACAGUUAUAGUCUGGAUGGGAGAAGAACAAA